GAUCAUGGCUCAGAUUGAACGCUGGCGGCAGGCCUAACACAUGCAAGUCGAGCGGAUGAGUGGAGCUUGCUCCAUGAUUCAGUGGCGGACGGGUGAGUAAUGCCUAGGAAUCUGCCUGGUAGUGGGGGGACAACGUUUCGAAAGGAACGCUAAUACCGCAUACGUCCUACGGGAGAAAGUGGGGGAUCUUCGGACCUCGCGCUAUCAGAUGAGCCUAGGUCGGAUUAGCUAGUUGG
rnacentral:rRNA from 1 species